GAACUGUUUAAUCACCCUUAUGUUUUUAAAGCAGUGUCUCUAGGAAUUAUGUGCCUCCUUUUAAAAUAUAAUUCAUAGAGACACUGCUUUAAAAACAUAAGGGUGAUUAAACAGUUC